rnacentral:rRNA from 1 species
UGAUCCUGGCUCAGAUUGAACGCUGGCGGCAGGCUUAACACAUGCAAGUCGAACGGUAACAUAAAGAAGCUUGCUUCCUUGAUGACGAGUGGCGGACGGGUGAGUAAUGCUUGGGAAUCUGGCUUAUGGAGGGGGAUAACGACGGGAAACUGUCGCUAAUACCGCGUAGAGUCGAGAGACGAAAGUGUGGGACCUUCGGGCCACAUGCCAUAGGAUGAGCCCAAGUGGGAUUAGGUAGUUGGUGGGGUAAGGGCCUACCAAGCCGACGAUCUCUAGCUGGUCUGAGAGGAUGGCCAGCCACACCGGGACUGAGACACGGCCCGGACUCCUACGGGAGGCAGCAGAAGGGCGAAUU